rnacentral:rRNA from 1 species
GAUGAACGCUGGCGGCGUGCCUAAUACAUGCAAGUCGAGCGAACGGACUAGAAGCUUGCUUCUCUGAUGUUAGCGGCGGACGGGUGAGUAACACGUGGAUAACCUACCUAUAAGACUGUGAUAACUUCGGGAAACCGUAGCUAAUACCGGAUGAUAUUUUGAACCGCAUGGUUCAAUUGUUAAAGACGUUCUUGCUGUCACUUAUAGAUGGUUCCGCGCUGCAUUAGCUAGUUGGUAAGGUAACGGCUUACCAAGGCAACGAUUCAUAGCCGACCUGAGAGGGUGAUCGGCCACACUGGAACUGAGACACGGACCAGACGACUACGGGAGGCAGCAGAAGGGAAUAUUCCGCAAAGGGCGAAAGCAUGACGGAGCAACGCCGAGUGAGUGAUGAAGGACUUAGGAUCGGAAAACUCUGUUAUUAGGGAAGAAAAGAUGGGUAAGUAACUGUGCACAGAUUGACGGUAACUAAUCAGAAAGCAACGGCUAACUACGUG